rnacentral:misc_RNA from 1 species
UUUCCGUAGGUGAACCUGCGGAAGGAUCAUUAUUGGAUUUUGAAACUUCAGGCUGCUGCUGGCUCUCCUCGGAGGGCAUGUGCACGCUUGUUGUCCAUUAUUUCUCCCACUGUGCACAUAUUGUAGACCUUUCAGUAGGCCUAUGUUGUUUUUCACAAUCUCUGAAUGUAAUAGAAUGGUUUUGAAUCUUGGGAAAUACAAUACAACUUUCAGCAACGGAUCUCUUGGCUCUCACAUCGAUGAAGAACGCAGC